rnacentral:misc_RNA from 1 species
UCUCCGUUGGUGAACCAGCGGAGGAAUCAUUACCGAGUGCAAACUCAUAACCCUUUGUGAACCUAUAUCUGUUGCUUCGGCGGCUCGCUCUCGGGCGAGCCCGCCGGUAAUAUCAGUAUCUCUGUUUGAACCCGACGAUACUUCUGAGUGUUCUUAGCGAACAGUUAAAACUUUUAACAACGGAUCUCUUGGCUCUA